rnacentral:tRNA from 4 species
GUCCGGGUGGCGGAAUAGGUAGACGCGCUAGCUUGAGGUGCUAGUGCCCGCAAGGGCUUGGGGGUUCGAGUCCCCCCUCGGACA